AUGGCGUCAAUGGUGUCAAAAUCAAAACAAAAUGAACAAGCAUAUUUGUCUCUACGCCCUACUAGGACUGUUUGCAGGUGUUAUUUCAGCUCUUGCUUGCAUGGGUCUCAAAUGAAUUUGGAGGAGCAACUUAACAGUGCCCCUCUUACACAGAGUUAUGGUGAGUUCAAAAUCUAUCUCAUACCCUUUGUUGGCUGAAAUACGUACCUUGACUGUAUGAAGAAAACAUUUGUUAAUGUAAACCAACAGAAGAAACAGAAAUACAUUAAGAGUUGAUUAUGCAAGAAGCAUUUCACCUUUUGAUUUUAGAUAAAAACAUUAUGUGCUCUUAACAAACACUCUAAUCUGGCUGUGCAGUUCAAUUACAAGGCACCGUGGCUAGAAGGAUACAAGAUGGCUCGAUCACUCUGACAGUUAAAUUCCUCCAUUUCUUCAUUGCAAGGUUUCUACAGUUCCGACAUUUAUCCCUAGUGCGGCCACCACCUUAUUCUACAUCGAGGCUAUUCUGGGUAGCAGUUACUCGAUCAGUUUCUUCCACGUCCGACCUCUCGUUGUAA
rnacentral:lncRNA from 1 species